UGCGGGAUGGAGCAGUCUGGUAGCUCGUCGGGCUCAUAACCGAAGGUCGUUGGUUCAAAUCCAGCUCCCGCUACCA
rnacentral:tRNA from 1 species